UGGGCUAUCGCCAAGCGGUAAGGCACAGGGUUUUGAUCCCUGCAUUACGCUGGUUCGAAUCCAGCUAGCCCAGC
rnacentral:tRNA from 2 species